GGUUUGAUCCUGGCUCAGAUUGAACGCUGGCGGGAUGCUUUACACAUGCAAGUCGAACGGCAGCACGGACUUCGGUCUGGUGGCGAGUGGCGAACGGGUGAGUAAUGUAUCGGAACGUGCCUAGUAGCGGGGGAUAACUACGCGAAAGCGUAGCUAAUACCGCAUACGCCCUUCGGGGGAAAGCGGGGGACCUUCGGGCCUCGCACUAUUAGAGCGGCCGAUAUCGGAUUAGCUAGUUGGUGGGGUAACGGCUCACCAAGGCGACGAUCCGUAGCGCUGGUUUGAGAGGACGACCAGCCACACUGGGACUGAGACACGGCCCAGACUCCUACGGGAGGCAGCAGUGGGGAAUUUUGGACAAUGGGGGAAACCCCGAUCCAGCCAUCUCGCGUGUGCGAUGAAGGCCUUCGGGUUGUAAAGUACUUUUUGGCAGGAAAGAAACGGCACGGGAUAAUACCCCGUGCAACUGACGGUACCUGCAGAAUAAGCACCGGCUAACUACGUGCCAGCAGCCGCGGUAAUACGUAGGUGCAAGCGUUAAUCGGAAUUACUGGGCGUAAAGCGGCAGGCGGCUCCGAAAGAAAGAUGUGAAAUCCCAGAGCUUAACAUUGGAACUGCAUUUUUAACUACCGAGCUAGAGUGUGUCAGAGGGAGGUGGAAUUCCGCGUGUAGCAGUGAAAUGCGUAGAUAUGCGGAGGAACACCGAUGGCGAAGGCAGCCUCCCGAUAACACUGACGCUCAUGCACGAAAGCGUGGGGAGCAAACAGGAUUAGAUACCCUGGUAGUCCACGCCCUAAACGAUGUCAACUAGCUGUUGGGGCCUCGGGCCUUGCAGUAGCAGCUAACGCGUGAAGUUGACCGCCUUGGGGAGAGUACGGUCGCAAGAUUAAAACUCAAAGGAAUUGACGGGGACCCGCACAAGCGGUGGAUGAUGUGGAUUAAUUCGAUGCGACGCGAAAAACCUUACCUACCCUUGACAUGUCUGGAAUCCCGAAGAGAUUUGGGAGUGCUCGCAAGAGAACCGAAACCAUUGCGGGUGUCGUGUAAUGGCUGUCGUCAGCUCGUGUCGUGAGAUGUUGGGUUAAGUCCCGCAACGAGCGCAACCCUCGGCUUGCUAGUUGCUACGAGCGGGCACUCUAAUGAGAUCACAGACAAACCGGAGGAAGGUGGGAUACGUCAAGUCCUCAUGGCCCUUAUGGGUAGGGCUUCACACGUCAUACAAUGGUCGGGGAUGAGGGUCGCCAACCCGCGAGGGGAGCCAACGAAACCCGAUCGAAACCGGAUCGCAGUCUGCAACCUGACCGGCAAAGAAGCUCGGAAUCGCUAGUAAUCGCGGAUCAGCAUGUCGCGGUGAAUACGUUCCCGGGUCUUGUACACACCGCCCGUCACACCAUGGGAGUGGGUUUUACCAGAAGUAGUUAGCCUAACCGUAAGGAGGGCGAUUACCACGGUAGGAUUCAUGACUGGGGUGAAGUCGUAACAAGGUAG
rnacentral:rRNA from 1 species